rnacentral:rRNA from 1 species
GACGUAGGGUGCGAGCGUUGUCCGGAUUUAUUGGGCGUAAAGAGCUCGUAGGCGGCUCGUCGCGUCAGCUGUGAAAACCCGCAGCUUAACUGUGGGCUUGCAGCUGAUACGGGCGGGCUGGAGUUCGGUAGGGGAGACUGGAAUUCCUGGUGUAGCGGUGAAAUGCGCAGAUAUCAGGAGGAACACCGGUGGCGAAGGCGGGUCUCUGGGCCGAUACUGACGCUGAGGAGCGAAAGCGUGGGGAGCGAACAGG